UAGGGAAUCUUCCGCAAUGGGCGAAAGCCUGACGGAGCAACGCCGCGUGAGUGAUGAAGGUCUUCGGAUCGUAAAACUCUGUUUUUAGGGAAGAACAAAUGUGUAAGUAACUAUGCACGUCUUGACGGUACCUAAUCAGAAAGCCACGGCUAACUACGUGCCAGCAGCCGCGGUAAUACGUAGGUGGCAAGCGUUAUCCGGAAUUAUUGGGCGUAAAGCGCGCGUAGGCGGUUUUUUAAGUCUGAUGUGAAAGCCCGCGGCUCAACCGUGGAGGGUCAUUGGAAACUGGAAAACUUGAGUGCAGAAGAGGGAAGUGGAAUUCCAUGUGUAGCGGUGAAAUGCGGAGAGAUAUGGAGGAACACCAGUGGCGAAGGCGACUUUCUGGUCUGUAACUGACGCUGAUGUGCGAAAGCGUGGGGAUCAAACAGG
rnacentral:rRNA from 1 species